AUCCCACGGAUCAAGCGUCUCCACCGUCCGAUACACCUACAUCCAACGGCAAUAACUCAAGCCUGUCUCUCUCUUCUUUCUUCCACCAACCCCGCAAAAGCACAGACCUCCGCCGAAACCAAACUUCCCCCAAUUCGUUCUUCUUCUUCCUCAAUCCCUGACUCCCAUUGCCUCCGCCGUUUCCCUUCCAUUUCCCCCGAUUCACGGGCAGGUCUUGCUAGGAGGCCGCACCAAAAAAACAGAUGGAGCCGGCCACCAUCUCCCCAGCAACAACCAUCCUUUCCUCCGCAUCCUGCAACCAUCCCGACGGCGCGACAACGGCGUCGUCCCCAGUGGCGGCAACCGGUCGUCCUCAAGGAUGGAGCCAUCUGACGCCGCGACAACGCCCUCGUCCCUGGUGGGAGCAACGCCUCUGAAGGCCGACCUAGGACCUGGGGCAGCGGUGCCGUCGAUGCGGGUGGUGCUUGGGUCGUUGUAGAGCGCAAGCGACUCAUGCCGCGGAGGCGACACUGAGCCAGCACCGAGCCCAUGCCGUCGGGCCGAGGGGUUCGCGUUCGUCGCCUAUACCACGGGCAUAUAUCUUGUUCACGCACAAGAAACGACGGUUCCAUGUGUAGAUUGACUGCUCAUGAGCAUGGAUCCAGGCGAUAUGGUGGUGAAGAUGCCGGCACCCUUCGAUGACGUCGGAGGGGGCGACUAGAUCUACCUCCAGAAAGGCAUCUGAAUGACCCCCGGUUGUUGUCCGUCGAGCGAUGGGCAGCGUGAGAGGGGUGGUGGGGUGCAAGCUUGGGAAGUAGCAUAGAGUGUUCUCUGCCGAAGAAUCUUUGGGACAUUUCUCUCGUUUUGCUCCUGUACAUGUGUACUGUCCGGAAAUGUUUGUAAUUUUAUAUUUUUGGUAUUUUUUCCUUUUAUGUAAAUGUUAUUUUUUUACUAUGUUCAUGUAAUUUCGUUUUAUUUAAUGACAUAGCAUUUUUUUUAAA